rnacentral:rRNA from 1 species
GCUUGUCUCAAAGAUUAAGCCAUGCAUGUCUAAGUAUAAACAAAUCUAUACUGUGAAACUGCGAAUGGCUCAUUAUAUCAGUUAUAGUUUAUUUGAUGGUUUUUGCUACUUGGAUAACCGUAGUAAUUCUAGAGCUAAUACAUGCAUAAAACUUUAAUUUUUUUAUAUUAUAUGAUAAAAAGUAUAAUAUAAAAAGAAAAAAGUGUAUUUAUUAGAUGGAAACCAAUGGCAGGGCAACCUGUUAAACUAAUGGUGAUUCAUAAUAACUUUCGGAUCGAUUUGUAUAAAUCGAUGCAUCAUUCAAGUUUCUGCCCUAUCAGCUUUGGAUGGUAGGGUAUUGGCCUACCAUGGCUUUAACGGGUAACGGAGAAUUAGGGUUCGAUUCCGGAGAGGGAGCCUGAGAAACGGCUACCACAUCCAAGGAAGGCAGCAGG